UGACCUCGGAUCAGGUAGGGAUACCCGCUGAACUUAAGCAUAUCAAUAAGCGGAGGAAAAGAAACCAACCGGGAUUGCCUCAGUAACGGCGAGUGAAGCGGCAAGAGCUCAAAUUUGAAAUCUGGUCCCUUCGGGGCCCGAGUUGUAAUUUGCAGAGGAUGCUUCGGGCGCGGCCCCCGUCUAAGUUCCCUGGAACGGGACGUCAGAGAGGGUGAGAAUCCCGUCUGGGACGGGGUGUCCGUGUCCAUGUGAAGCUCCUUCGACGAGUCGAGUUGUUUGGGAAUGCAGCUCUAAAUGGGUGGUAAAUUUCAUCUAAAGCUAAAUACUGGCCGGAGACCGAUAGCGCACAAGUAGAGUGAUCGAAAGAUGAAAAGCACUUUGAAAAGAGAGUUAAAUAGCACGUGAAAUUGUUGAAAGGGAAGCGCUUGCGACCAGACUCGCCCGCGGGGUUCAACCGGUAUUCGUACCGGUGUACUUCCCCGCGGGCGGGCCAGCGUCGGUUUGGGCGGCCGGUCAAAGGCCUCCGGAAUGUAUCGCCCCCCGGGGCGUCUUAUAGCCGGAGGUGCAAUGCGGCCUGCCUGGACCGAGGAACGCGCUUCGGCACGGACGCUGGCAUAAUGGUCGUAAGCGACC
rnacentral:rRNA from 2 species